rnacentral:rRNA from 1 species
ACGAAGGGGGCUAGCGUUGUUCGGAAUUACUGGGCGUAAAGCGUACGUAGGCGGAUCUUUAAGUCAGGGGUGAAAUCCCGAGGCUCAACCUCGGAACUGCCUUUGAUACUGGGGAUCUUGAGUCCGGGAGAGGUUAGUGGAACUGCGAGUGUAGAGGUGAAAUUCGUAGAUAUUCGCAAGAACACCAGUGGCGAAGGCGGCUAACUGGCCCGGUACUGACGCUGAAAUACGAAAGCGUGGGGAGCAGACAGGA